AGUGAACGCUGGCGGUAGGCCUAACACAUGCAAGUCGAACGGCAGCACAGGAGAGCUUGCUCUCUGGGUGGCGAGUGGCGGACGGGUGAGGAAUACAUCGGAAUCUACCUUUUCGUGGGGGAUAACGUAGGGAAACUUACGCUAAUACCGCAUACGACCUACGGGUGAAAGUGGGGGACCGCAAGGCCUCACGCGAUUAGAUGAGCCGAUGUCCGAUUAGCUAGUUGGCGGGGUAAUGGCCCACCAAGGCGACGAUCGGUAGCUGGUCUGAGAGGAUGAUCAGCCACACUGGAACUGAGACACGGUCCAGACUCCUACGGGAGGCAGCAGUGGGGAAUAUUGGACAAUGGGCGCAAGCCUGAUCCAGCCAUACCGCGUGGGUGAAGAAGGCCUUCGGGUUGUAAAGCCCUUUUGUUGGGAAAGAAAUCCUAUCGAUUAAUACUCGGUGGGGAUGACGGUACCCAGAGAAUAAGCACCGGCUAACUUCGUGCCAGCAGCCGCCGUAACAC
rnacentral:rRNA from 1 species